UGGGGAAUAUUGGACAAUGGGCGCAAGCCUGAUCCAGCAAUGCCGCGUGUGUGAAGAAGGCCUUCGGGUUGUAAAGCUCUUUCAGACGGAAAGAAACGGUUACGGCUAAUACCCGUGACUAAUGACGGUACCGUAAGAAGAAGCACCGGCUAACUACGUGCCAGCAGCCGCGGUAAUACGUAGGGUGCGAGCGUUAAUCGGAAUUACUGGGCGUAAAGCGUGCGCAGGCGGUUUGGUAAGACAGAUGUGAAAUCCCCGGGCUUAACCUGGGAACUGCAUUUGUGACUGCCAGACUAGAGUGUAGCAGAGGGGGGUAGAAUUCCACGUGUAGCAGUGAAAUGCGUAGAUAUGUGGAGGAAUACCGAUGGCGAAGGCAGCCCCCUGGGCUAACACUGACGCUCAUGCACGAAAGCGUGGGGAGCAAACAGGAUUAGAUACCCCAGUAGUCCCUGAGCGGGCUGGCAAGGCGCAU
rnacentral:rRNA from 1 species